rnacentral:rRNA from 1 species
GAUGAACGCUGGCGGCGUGCCUAAUACAUGCAAGUCGAGCGAACGGACGAGAAGCUUGCUUCUCUGAUGUUAGCGGCGGACGGGUGAGUAACACGUGGAUAACCUACCUAUAAGACUGGGAUAACUUCGGGAAACCGGAGCUAAUACCGGAUGAUAUUUUGAACUGCAUGGUUCAAAAGUGAAAGACGGUCUUGCUGUCACUUAUAGAUGGAUCCGCGCUGCAUUAGCUAGUUGGUAAGGUAACGGCUUACCAAGGCAACGAUGCAUAGCCGACCUGAGAGGGUGAUCGGCCACACUGGAACUGAGACACGGUCCAGACUCCUACGGGAGGCAGCAGUAGGGAAUCUUCCGCAAUGGGCGAAAGCCUGACGGAGCAACGCCGCGUGAGUGAUGAAGGUCUUCGGAUCGUAAAACUCUGUUAUUAGGGAAGAACAUAUGUGCAAGUAACUGUGCACAUCUUGACGGUACCUAAUCAGAAAGCCACGGCUAACUACGUG